CAGUAGCCACGGUAAUACGAAGGGUGCAAGCGUUACUCGGAAUUACUGGGCGUAAAGCGUGCGUAGGUGGUUGUUUAAGUCUGCUGUGAAAGCCCUGGGCUCAACCUGGGAAUUGCAGUGGAUACUGGGCGACUAGAGUAAGGUAGAGGAUAGUGGAAUUUCCGGUGUAGCAGUGAAAUGCGUAGAGAUCGGAAGGAACAUCUGUGGCGAAGGCGACUAUCUGGGCCAACACUGACACUGAGGCACGAAAGCGUGGGGAGCAAACAGGAUUAGAUACCCCUGUAGUCCCUGUCUCUUAUAA
rnacentral:rRNA from 1 species